UGUAGACAUACUUAUCUAACAUAAUUCAUUGUUGCACUGCAGUUAUUUGAAAGAUGCACAACGUAAACGUGCAGGGAACAAAGCCUAAGAAAAAAAACAGAAGAGAAGACAACCAUCAACAUGAGCUCAUCAGAGGUAGACGCAGCAGAGGCUCAUGGGUACAGAACAUUUCACAGCUUUAAACACAUCAACAAAUCCAGCCGGACCUCGUGGGGAGGGUGAGGAGAGUCUCACCGGGGGG
ensembl:lncRNA